GUUGGUACCACUCCUUCCCAUCCCGAACAGGACAGUGAAACGACUUUGCGCCAAUGAUAGUGCGGAUCCCCGUGUGAAAGUAGGUCAUCGUCAGGC
rnacentral:rRNA from 1 species